rnacentral:lncRNA from 1 species
CGGACAGUGUAGAUCUAAUCUUACUCGAACUUGAUGAAAGAGCUUGCUACCCUAGGCCAAGGUGCAUAGCAAUUAGCGAAGCGAUUCUUAUGGCUGGCCUUAGGCUCCCGAUCCAUCAUUUCUUCCAUCUAGUCUUUAGGUUUUAUGCUUUAGCUCCGACCCAGUUGAACCCGAACUCCUAGAGCCAAAUAGCAGGCUCCUGGAUGUUAUGGAAGGAGGCGUCGCUUGGGAUAGAGAUGCAUUUUUCUGUCAUCAGACCCUCUACAUCUCCAAGGUAGUGGCUGGGGGGGGGAAAUAAGACCAGGGGCUGGUAUUACCUGACCUCAUGGGGUUUUCAUACUCUAUUCGUGCUCGAUCUACCGAGCUCUAUUAAGGAGUGGAAGAGCUCAUGGUGCUGGGCUGCUGGGAGAUGUGACACAAUGGAGGGAGACCCUUGGUGCCUCUUACGGUGCCCACGAAGUAUUCUACACUUAUUGAGUACUGUUGAUUUGCAUUUAUAUUUAUUCUUCUUCGGUUCGGAUCGUAACUGCUAUUUGUUUGCUUUUGAAGGCACUCUUCCUCGGUGUAAGAUAUCCACCGACAACUUUGAUAUCAUUUGCAUCAUCUACCAGCUACCUCCGAAGAAGAGGUCAUACCACGAGCUGAUUAGGAAGAACAUUUACUUCGUGACGCAUGAUUUGAUGGCUUCUUAAGGUAAAUUUCC